rnacentral:rRNA from 1 species
UACGGAGGGUGCGAGCGUUGUUCGGAAUUAUUGGGCGUAAAGGGUGCGUAGGUGGUUUGUUAAGUCUGCUGUGAAAUCCCCGGGCUCAACCUGGGAAUGGCAGUGGAUACUGGCAAGCUAGAGUGCGGUAGAGGGUAGUGGAAUUCCCGGUGUAGCAGUGAAAUGCGUAGAGAUCGGGAGGAACACCAGUGGCGAAGGCGGCUACCUGGACCAGCACUGACACUGAAGCACGAAAGCGUGGGGAGCAAACAGG